AUUGAACGCUGGCGGCAUGCCUUACACAUGCAAGUCGAACGGUAACAGGUUAAGCUGACGAGUGGCGAACGGGUGAGUAAUACAUCGGAACGUGCCCAGACGUGGGGGAUAGCUCGGCGAAAGCCGGAUUAAUACCGCAUGUGAUCUGAGGAUGAAAGCGGGGACCGUAAGGCCUCGCGCGUUUGGAGCGGCCGAUGGCAGAUUAGGUAGUUGGUGGGGUAAAGGCUUACCAAGCCUACGAUCUGUGGCUGGUCUGAGAGGACGACCAGCCACACUGGGACUGAGACACGGCCCAGACUCCUACGGGAGUCAGCAGUGGGGAAUUUUGGAUAAUGGGGGCAACCCUGAUCCAGCCAUGCCGCGUGCGGGAAGAAGGCCUUCGGGUUGUAAACCGCUUUUGUCAGGGAAGAAACGGUCUGGGUUAAUACCCUGGGCUAAUGACGGUACCAUAAGAAUAAGCACCGGCUAACUACGUGCCAGCAGCCGCCGUAAAAC
rnacentral:rRNA from 1 species